GCCACAUAUAAAAAAUUGUGUGACCAAAUAAUAUACAUUAGCCACAUAUAUCUAAACUUUAAAUCAUCUCACAACUGUAAACUGUUCCCACCUCAUACCAUAUCUGUUCCUGGUUCCGAUUCGAGAAGAUCGACUAUGUGAAUCCUUUUAUCUAUGUGAUUAGUGUUAGUUUCUCAAACGUGUUAUAUAUUUGUUCCCUCCAUACGGAGACUACAUGGAUUGGAUAUGAAAAGUUGAGUUCGAGUGAUGCAGAUCUGAGGGUUGGUUCUAAUUGCAGACUACAUGGAUUGGAAUUUCCGGUGAUUUCGCCUCAUAGUGCGACCGGAAAAGGAACCACACCGAGGACAGCGAUGUUGACUCUUUUCGGGACUCAAGUAGUGAUUACGACCUCCCAAAGAGUGAAAUUUUUCAGUUGUUGGAUCAGUCGUCGUUAAAUUACCAACACGCCCUUCAAUAAGGCUUCUCUAGUGAUGAGGGUGAAUCAGCAAGACCUCAAAGUUGUCUUUCAUUCGAGUAUUUGGAGCGCAAUCAACCUUGAGGUCGGGAACUAGGGGGGACAAUCCUGACCCUAAUGCAUCAAUAUGGGUCAAUAUGGGUCUUUUAUAAACUGUUAUGGGUGGUUUUGGGUAAUGUUUUUAUAGUCAAAGGGUUAGACCGGGUCAAUUAAUACAUGCAAAAACUAAUCUACGGGUCAAAUUGGGUUGGCAAAGUUAAAUCCACGGGUCAUUUAGGGUUGCGAAACAACCCACGGGUGAACAAAAUCCCACAUUGAUCAGAUGAUUCAAAUAUCGAGCAAUAAGAUUCCGGGCGGAUUUCACCAGUCAACAGUUACUCAGCAGGCAAUCAACAUGAGCAUACGCCUGUUAUGAAUCCUGGGAGAGACAGGUCCUCUAAAAAUCUCAUUACCUGUAUUUGUUCUUGCUUCAUACAAGUUAAAAGAACCUCUAUGGAUCAACAAUGAAGGCGAAUUGCUGACGGAUCUAUUGCAGGCAGCCGACAGUGGGUUGGCAAAUCUUCAGGUCAAUCACCUUCAUUUGGUUCAUGUCUGCUGACCUGGACAGCCUAGUUGAAACUCAAAUGGUUGUAUUAUUUUUCAAAAGUUCCUUAGGAACGUGAGUACCCUGGAAACACAAGAAUCGAAGUGGUGAAACCCGCCAGCAGAAGAAGUGUUUUUGUUCAAACUGAGACAGGUUGUGUGUUAAUUAAGGAUGGAGCUAGGUCGAAUUGAUAGUGCCACACAUGGAUAACGACAUCCGCAAAACUGCAAUGGAGUUUCUACCUUUGAGUAAUCCACACAUCUUUCUAAACAAACUCUAGUACAAGGAUGAAAACAAAGGAGAUGCAGGAGACCCAUCUUCUUGUAAGAAGAUAGCAUACUAAGAGAACCUGCUUCAACUAAGGUCCAUGCUUCCUAAAGACGAUCUAGAAAUGAGAUAAUAAAAUAUUUGAGAUGCUAUCCUUCGUCAGAAUAUUCGCCCAAAGGCGAACAAGUUGCCGGUAGGACCACGCGUUGUGAGAAAACUGGAUUUUCCAAGAUGCACUUACGAUGAAAAUUUACCAAUCACAAAGAACCUGAACGCAACAGGAUGUUUCUAAAAAAGUGUUGAAGACAUGCCAUGCUUUAUCAUCUGAUCAUAGUUCUUGCAGCACUUUCAAGUCGAAAAGUACGAGUAUAUAAGCAUGAAGAAUAAAUCUAUAAAUAGUUUUUAGUUUAUGUUUAUUGUCAUUUCUCUUUUCAACUUUUGUAGAUAGAUUUUAUCAGAAGUUUGUUAUUAGUACUUAAGUUGAAAACUUAUGUAUGAAUUUUGGUUAAUAUUAGUUGGUUUUAGGUUUUUCUCAUGCUGACAACUGUUUUUAUUUUACAAAAAGUUGAAAAUAAAAUAGCUAAU
rnacentral:lncRNA from 1 species